rnacentral:rRNA from 1 species
AUGAUUGCUCUUAUCGGUAUGGCUCCUACCGAGGAGGAGGGAGAAGAGAAGAAGAAGAGGGAAAGGAAGGCAGCCGGAGCUGCUUUCAUGUGGAUUCAAAAUAACUUUGCGACGUGCCCUCCGGAUGCAACUGAUGAUGUGAUCCAGACACAUGCUCGUGUGUAUAUGUGGUACAUUGUGUCGAGGACUUUGUUUCCUGACUCCACUGGCAAGAACGCUCCAUGGAUGUGGCUGAAGGCGUUGACUGUCUUCGACAGCAAAUGGAGCUGGGGUUCAGCGACUCUUGCCUACUUGUACCGACAGGUAGUUGGUUUGUUUUGUGAUCAACUCAUUUAUUCAUUAGCAAUGCAAGCUUGCUGUCAAGUUAACAUUGUUUUUCUUUCAUAUGUAGCUGGAUGA